GAUAAGGAGACCAGACAGGCCAUUGAAAUGGCUUGCAAACAGGCGAGGGUCCAUUUUGUAGCUCAUCAGAGGAAGGGGAACUUGGAAUGCACCACAGGUCAGUGUAAGACACAGCUGUGAGAGAAUCAUUUCUACAUCAGUGAACGGUGGUGGCUGCAGGUGCGUGGCUUACCCAUCAGAGAGAUUCAGUCUCUGUAGAAUUUUCAUUCCUCAACUCCCCAUGGAACCAAAAUAGUGGCCACGCUUUGAUAUCUCUUCUCCACUGAAUAACUCUAACAACAGCAUGGAGAUGUUCCAGAAACUUCAUCCAUGGCCGAUGAUUUCUCAACCUAUUUCAUUGUGCACCCCAUACAAGGAGGGCCUCACUACUGUGUUCCCGAUGGAACGCUGCUCUCUGCACGUGGAAGAAAGCCCUGCUCAGCGAAUACUCCAAAGCUGCACCCCGAAUGAAAAGCUGAGGAGAAAGCAGGAAGUGUAAGCAUGACAUUUAGGGAAGAAUUAGAAGACUCACAAAGGCUCAAUAAAUCUAAGACCCUGAGUCCAUUUACCUAGGAAUU